rnacentral:lncRNA from 1 species
CGGCACGAAGGAAAGUUCACACACGUCAAGGAAUCAUUCCAUUACAGAUCGUUGCAGGCGUGUUCCUCCCCUCAGGAAUAUAUCCGAAGGGCACGCGAGGGGCCGUUCUCGGAAAGGGCGUCGGGGGUACUAGGAAUUUCAGGGGCGUUUCUACCUAGCCCUGAGAGCGUGCGUGCGGCGUUACAGGUGGAAGUGGGUGGGUAGGGGGGGUAAGGGGGGAUUGGGAGGGGGAAAAGGUGAAUAUCAUGAUUUGAUUUUCGUUUAUGAUUUUUUUUUCUUUGUGCAUUUUCUGGCUGGCGUAGGUGAAGGCUUAUUAUUCUAGUGGCGUUGGGAUAUUUCUGAAAUCUUGAGUAGAAGGUGGGGGGUUGCAUUAUCUUUUAUUGUUGGAAUGACGUGGAUUCGUCACAGGAUUUUUUUUUCCGAAUCGGAAGCCACUCGAAUCAGAAGUAAUAUCCGCAGAAAAAAAAUCAGAUAAAGAACCAAGCAACAACCGCCAGAUACACCGCAACGCCCCCCUCCCCCCUUCCCUUCCUCCCUCCUCCACCCCUACUUCCCGCCCGCCCCCCCUCGCUCUUGAUUUUUCCUACGACGCACAAGUUCGCAGCGUGAGUCGCUUGUCUGGAGCGGAUCGCAAGGUUUGUGCUGUACAGUUGGUGUAAUGUGGACAGGCCUCGCCUCUACGUGCGCUGUCGGUCGGUCGAGCUAUCUCCAAAGUCCCGCUCCGUCUCUGAACAGGCGCGAUUUACGCAGGAUGGACACCUGUACUUUUCGGCAGAGCAGAAUGCAUUGUUAUACAGGUCCCAUCUAGAUCUUCCAGACUUUGGUGCUUGUAAGUAUUAGACUUACUUUUCUUCCUUUGGUUCACAUAGUCAACAUUAUUUCUAGAAAUCAUCAUAUUCACUUUUUAUUAUCGAUAUUUCUAUUCAGUCUUAUUCUCAUUUUCUUAUUCACUAUCGUUAUACGUUGUCGCAAUUGCCAUAGCCAGCGAGGCUCACAUGAAAACCAGCUGAGGUGAGAGGGAGGAGGUAGGGGGAAGGGGAGGGAGGGGGAAGGGGAGGGAGGGGGUGCUUGUUAUCAUGUUUCAGAUGGUAUGAAAUCGCUGGUGUUUUUAAUCAAGCACCAUUAAUUGAUGGAAUGAGUAAUAAGGAAAGCACAGUGACUGCACGGAUAAUGGGCAGGGACUCGUUCAUUGGUGACACUGCCCUUCAUUUAUAGAUAGAUCUAGAUAUACAUUCAUAUGAAUAAAUGAAUUUCUAGAAAGAGAGAUAGA